GACGAACGCUGGCGGCGUGCUUAACACAUGCAAGUCGAACGGAAAGGCCCUGCUUUUGUGGGGUGCUCGAGUGGCGAACGGGUGAGUAACACGUGAGUAACCUGCCCUUGACUUUGGGACAACUUCAGGAAACUGGGGCUAAUACCGGAUAGGAGCUCCUGCUGCAUGGUGGGGGUUGGAAAGUUUCGGCGGGUGGGGAUGGACUCGCGGCUUAUCAGCUUGUUGGUGGGGUAGUGGCUUACCAAGGCUUUGACGGGUCGCCGGCCUGAGAGGGUGACCGGCCACAUUGGGACUGAGAGACGGCCCAGACGCCUACGGGAGGCAGCAGUGGGGAAUAUUGCACAAUGGGCGGAAGCCUGAUGCAGCAACGCCGCGGGCGUGAUGACGGCCUUCGGGUUGUAAACCGCUUUCGCCUGUGACGAAGCGUGAGUGACGAUAAUGGGUAAAGAAGCACCGGCUAACUACGUG
rnacentral:rRNA from 1 species